ensembl:lncRNA
GAGUCAACUAAAAUUAAUUUUGAUGGCUUUAAUUAUAAUUUGUACAAUGCAAAAAGUGACAAUUAUUUUGCAUUCCGUCCAGCAUUAUUUGGCAAUCAUUCAGCAAUCAUUUUUAAAUGUCUUUGUUGUAAGGAAACAUGACACUAUCGCAAAUAUUCAGUUUCUCUGUUACUGUACACCAACUAACGUACCAGCGAAAAAUACCUGAUUGCGCCACUAGAGGGCAGUACCUUAUUCAUAUCACAGUCACAACAUUCACUCAGAAGUAAAUGGUAAAGGUCAUGUCAUGUCAUUGGGGUCAGGUGAGUUUAAAACCCAAUUCUAGAAGAUUUACAAGAAUUUCAAUAAAACAAAUAUACCCCUUGACUUGGAAGAAUAUGACUUUUGACUAAGUUUAGGCAACGGUAGAUAAUUCAUUUUAUUGAAGGGAACAGAUUGAAUGUGCAAUUCUGCGUAAAAAGGGCCUUAAGUCCACCUGCAUCAGGAGACUACGACUUGGUUCUGUCACCUGGCAUGACGAUACACCUCCGACAACGUAAAAUGUGUUGUCUGAAAACCUUCUCGUUCAGUCUCUCCUUGUCUCUCCUCCCUACGGCGGUCGGCAGGACUGGGAAGCGAAGCGACAAGGUAUCUCUAUACCUCCCACCGGGUGGAGGUGGUGAUUUAUAGACGGCGUCGCUGGGGAAACCAACCACAUUUCAUUUAGAUCACGUUGGCCUGUUCGGCGGCGGAAUCCUCCCCGGGAGAGGCCCUGGUAAUGGGAAAACGUCUGCAUCGAUAUAUCUCCCCCGCGAGGCCAUUCGACCCUCCCCUCCCCUCCUCUCGAAGCGGACGCUCCUACCACUGCAUCACCCUCCUGAGAUAAGUUUACGACGCAUGCAGAUUCCUCAUUUUUACCGGACUGGAAUCCAUUACUGGGAGAGGUAGAGAGUAGGCUAACCAGGGCCGGGGGUCGAACAGGGGUAGAGCUAGUAGGCUAACCAGGGCCGGGGGUCGAACAGGGGGUAGAGAGUAGGCUAACCAGGGCCGGGGGUCGAACAGGGGGGUAGAGGGGGUAGAGCAGCCUAGUGGGGCACUGUAAACACACACACACACAGCUUACCUGGUCUCUCAAUCGUACAGGUAUCGUAAACAUCGUCAUAAAACUGCCAUCAGGCAAUCAUAGGGGUAAUUUCUGUUCCUUAAGGGCCACAAUGGAACUGUCAAAGGCAGUGGUGGAAAAAGUACCCAAUUGAGUAAAAGUAAAGAUACCUUAAUAGAAAAUGACUCAAGUCAAAGUGAGAGUCACCCAGUAAAAUAAUAAUAAUAAUAAUAAUACUAAUAAUAAUAAUAAUAAUACCACUUGAGUAGAAGUCUGAAAGUAUCUGGUUUUAAAUAUACUUAAAUAUCAA